rnacentral:rRNA from 1 species
AUACAGAGGGUGCAAGCGUUAAUCGGAUUUACUGGGCGUAAAGCGCGCGUAGGUGGCUAAUUAAGUCAAAUGUGAAAUCCCCGAGCUUAACUUGGGAAUUGCAUUCGAUACUGGUUAGCUAGAGUAUGGGAGAGGAUGGUAGAAUUCCAGGUGUAGAGGUGAAAUGCGUAGAGAUCUGGAGGAAUACCGAUGGCGAAGGCAGCCAUCUGGCCUAAUACUGACACUGAGGUGCGAAAGCAUGGGGAGCAAACAGGAUUAGAUACCCUGGUAGUCCAUGCCGUAAACGAUGUCUACUAGCCGUUGGGGCCCUUGAGGCUUUAGUGGCGCAGCUAACGCGAUAAGUAGACCGCCUGGGGAGUACGGUCGCGAGACUAAAACUCAAAUGAAUUGACGGGG